rnacentral:rRNA from 1 species
CGAAGGGGGCUAGCGUUGUUCGGAAUUACUGGGCGUAAAGGGCGCGUAGGCGGUCCUGAUCGUCGGAUGUGAAAGGCCUGGGCUCAACCUGGGAACUGCAUCCGAUACGGCGGGACUGGAGUGUGGGAGAGGUUGGUGGAAUUCCCAGUGUAGAGGUGAAAUUCGUAGAUAUUGGGAAGAACACCGGUGGCGAAGGCGGCCAACUGGACCACAACUGACGCUGAGGCGCGAAAGCGUGGGGAGCAAACAGGAUUAGAUACCCUGGUAGUCCACGCUGUAAACGAUGCGUGCUAGACGUUGGGAGACCUAGUCUCUCGGUGUCGUCGCUAACGCUUUAAGCACGCCGCCUGGGGAGUACGGCCGCAAGGUUA